rnacentral:misc_RNA from 1 species
AAGGACAUGAUGCAUCAGAUGACUACACUAGAGUGACUCAAGGGAGGAAAAGAUUCAUAAUACCUGAACAAAGCUCUCCAUCAUGUAAUGUAUAUGUAAUUUAUAAAUACACCUUAAUAAACAAGCAACAACCAUUUGGUUCAACAGAACAGUUUCAGCAGCCAGUACUGUCUCAAGUUUUCUGCAACUGCAAAGUACUCGACUAGUAGAAAAGACAAAAAUUCUUAAGGAUUUCUGGCUACUCAACAUUUAGAUAACAGAGGCAAGCAGCCUGCAUGUUUCUGAUGACCACACUCAGCAAUCUUGAAAGAAGAUAGACCACUACAAAUUCAACCUUGCUGCGCUGACUAUAGACAAAAUGGCGAUGUUUGCCUAGUACAAUAUCAAGUGCAUUCAUACCUUUGCAAUACUUGAGGCAAAGAGCAAAUGAAGAUUGCUCCAUGAGUAUAUAUUCAACUUCAGUGGUUGCUUCUACUGCUCGAUUGUGACAUGUUCCUGCACCAGAUUGGUCUCUAUUUGAGCUUUAACACCGGUCUCAGUCUGGCUCGGUUCAACAACUGAUACAACCUCACACUCUCGACCAUCUGCAUCAAAUUCAGUAGCUUGCUUGUGUUGGUUAUUUGGUUGAGAAGAAACUUCACUUGUUUCCUUGGGUAAAGCAUUCGGCAGAGAUGCAGCUUCAGCUGAUUCUUUGGAUGAGCUAGACUUGCGAAUGGAAAGCUUUCUUGUUUCAUUGGAUAAGUUGGUUUUCUCAGAUGGCAGCUUUGGAAGUGACUUCCUUUGAGGCUUCUUAACAAUGAGAGGAGAAUGCCCUUUGACUGGGUUAUUUUGGGAUGCAUUUUCGUCCAAGCUUAACCUACCCGGGCGCAUGACACUCUCAUUGAUUCUUUCUUUGGUGGGCGAGCUCUUUCUCCUCCCAAGUUUGGGGGAUUUAGCUCUGGUUGGUGGAAUCUUCUUCAACUCCAUCUUUGGAGGUGCAGGUUCCUGAUAAAAGCUUGGCAUGGGUGUCGCUUUAAAUUUUAAGCUCUUCCUUAACAUUUUGAUCUCAGCUUCCUGAGUUUCCUUAGUCUUGGCUUGCAUAUUACUCUUCUCAACUUCCUUUGCCUGGGUUUUUUCUUCAAGCUUGGAGUAAAACUCUUUCCUUUUCUCAGCUCUUGCAUCACACUUGAAACUGAUAUUGUAGGUUGGAAGAGUACCUACUUUGCGAGGUUUGGCAUCUGAUGCAGCAGUAGGACUGGAAGAUGAUUCUGCACUUCCAUCAGCUUUAGCAGGGGGCACUUUCUUCAAAGGCAUCAGUUUUGUUUUUUCCUUAAGGCCUUCCGACUGAGCAGCACUGGGAGAAGCUGAUGCUGCUACUUCAGCAUGACCAGGUUGCUUAGCACGAUCAACAUUUAGAUGAGCCAAUGCAGGUUUUGAAUAAUACUCAACAGUUUUCUUGUCACUGAAUGAUUUACCCUUUGCAUCAAGGGAAGAUGACUGCUUAGGACGCGGUUUGGAGGCAAGGGUACCAUUUGAUGCCUCUUUUCCAUCUUUGCUUUUCUUGGCAACGCCAUUUUGGGGGCCUGAAUUCUUAGCAUUCCUUGCCCUAGGUGGAGUCUUUUGCUCUUUACUGUUUGUUGCAUCAUCAGAUUCUUUUGCUUCGUGUUCCUCGGAACUGACACCAGCAUUGCUUUCUACAGUAAUUGUAGUUUCAUUACUGACCUCUUGGACAGAAGAUCCAACUGUUUCACUAUCCGUCAAUAUGACAGUGCUCUGGAAACUCCUCUCUAAUUCUUCAUUACUGGGACUUGCAUGAGGCAUCCCAUUGGAUAUGCCAGCAACAACUUCUGGAAGUUGGUGAACUCCAUUUCCAAAGCCCAACCCAUUUCCAGAAACAGCUAUGUUAUUGACAACAUCCAUCAUGCUCUAUAAUGUUUCAAAUUUUGCAAUCACAAUUCUAAACAACCAUAAAAAGAUCACAAGCCCAUGAAAUCCACAAGGGAUCUGAUAGAAUCUUGACACAGAAAGCCAAACACUUACAAAACAAACAAGAAUCUUGAAAAUCUUAGAAACAAUUUAUGAAAAUGCUCUAAAGAUGGUGUUUUCUUGAACUUGAAAGUGAAAAGUUGAGAACUUUGAAGAUGGGGUUUCUCUAUUUCACAAAAUUCUCAACUCAAAAAUAGAGAAG